CGCGGAGUAGAGCAGUGGUAGCUCGUCAGGCUCAUAACCUGAAGGUCGGUGGUUCGAUCCCAUCCUCCGCAA
rnacentral:tRNA from 2 species